GGGCGCGUAGCUAAGCCGGAUAAACUACCUGGCUACGAACCAGGCAGACGCAGGUUCGACCCCUGCCGCGCCCACCA
rnacentral:tRNA from 1 species